rnacentral:rRNA from 1 species
UCCUACGGGAGGCAGCAGUGGGGAAUUUUGGACAAUGGGGGAAACCCUGAUCCAGCCAUCCCGCGUGAGUGAAGAAGGCCUUCGGGUUGUAAAGCUCUUUCGAAAGUGAAGAAAACCUAUUUCGUAAUAUGUUAUAGGUAUGACGGUAACUUUAGAAGAAGCACCGGCUAACUACGUGCCAGCAGCCGCGGUAAUACGUAGGGUGCGAGCGUUAAUCGGAAUUACUGGGCGUAAAGCGUGCGCAGGCGGUUUUGUAAGUCAGAUGUGAAAUCCCCGAGCUUAACUUGGGAACUGCGUUUGAAACUACAAGACUAGAGUGUGUCAGAGGGGGGUAGAAUUCCACGUGUAGCAGUGAAAUGCGUAGAGAUGUGGAGGAAUACCAAUGGCGAAGGCAGCCCCCUGGGAUAACACUGACGCUCAUGCACGAAAGCGUGGGGAGCGAACAGGAUUAGAUACCCUGGUAGUCCACGCCCUAAACGAUGUCAACUAGUUGUUGGUGGAGUAAGAUCCAUGAGUAACGUAGCUAACGCGUGAAGUUGACCGCCUGGGGAGUACGGUCGCAAGAUUAAAACUCAAAUGAAUUGACGGA